UGGGGAAUAUUGGACAAUGGGCGAAAGCCUGAUCCAGCCAUGCCGCGUGUGUGAAGAAGGUCUUCGGAUUGUAAAGCACUUUAGGUUGGGAGGAAGGGUUGUAGAUUAAUACUCUGCAAUCUUGACGUUACCGACAGAAUAAGCACCGGCUAACUCUGUGCCAGCAGCCGCGGUAAUACAGAGGGUGCAAGCGUUAAUCGGAAUUACUGGGCGUAAAGCGCGCGUAGGUGGUUUGUUAAGUUGGAUGUGAAAUCCCCGGGCUCAACCUGGGAACUGCAUCCAAAACUGGCAAGCUAGAGUAUGGUAGAGGGUGGUGGAAUUUCCUGUGUAGCGGUGAAAUGCGUAGAUAUAGGAAGGAACACCAGUGGCGAAGGCGACCACCUGGACUGAUACUGACACUGAGGUGCGAAAGCGUGGGGAGCAAACA
rnacentral:rRNA from 1 species